rnacentral:rRNA from 1 species
GAGAAAACCGCAUGGUUUUCUUUUAAAAGAUGGCUCUGCUAUCACUUCUGGAUGGACCCGCGGCGUAUUAGCUAGUUGGUGAGGUAAAGGCUCACCAAGGCAGUGAUACGUAGCCGACCUGAGAGGGUAAUCGGCCACAUUGGGACUGAGACACGGCCCAGACUCCUACGGGAGGCAGCAGUAGGGAAUCUUCCACAAUGGACGCAAGUCUGAUGGAGCAACGCCGCGUGAGUGAAGAAGGGUUUCGGCUCGUAAAGCUCUGUUGUUAAAGAAGAACGUGGGUAAGAGUAACUGUUUACCCAGUGACGGUAUUUAACCAGAAAGCCACGGCUAACUACGUGCCAGCAGCCGCGGUAAUACGUAGGUGGCAAGCGUUAUCCGGAUUUAUUGGGCGUAAAGCGAGCGCAGGCGGUCUUUUAAGUCUAAUGUGAAAGCCUUCGGCUCAACCGAAGAAGUGCAUUGGAAACUGGGAGACUUGAGUGCAGAAGAGGACAGUGGAACUCCAUGUGUAGCGGUGAAAUGCGUAGAUAUAUGGAAGAACACCAGUGGCGAAGGCGGCUGUCUGGUCUGCAACUGACGCUGAGGCUCGAAAGCAUGGGUAGCGAACAGGAUUAGAUACCCUGGUAGUCCAUGCCGUAAACGAUGAUUACUAAGUGUUGGAGGGUUUCCGCCCUUCAGUGCUGCAGCUAACGCAUUAAGUAAUCCGCCUGGGGAGUACGACCGCAAGGUUGAAACUCAAAAGAAUUGACGGGGGCCCGCACAAGCGGUGGAGCAUGUGGUUUAAUUCGAAGCUACGCGAAGAACCUUACCAGGUCUUGACAUCUUCUGACAGUCUAAGAGAUUAGAGGUUCCCUUCGGGGACAGAAU